rnacentral:sRNA from 1 species
CACCAGCUGACAGUAUCUGAAUGUUCUAUUUGUAUUGUUGAGGAACCGCCAAGAAAGGUUUGAAGGUCAACAUGAGUCCAAUGACCUCAGUCAGGUUCAGUAAAAGAAACACCAUCUGAUCACCUGCACAACAUUGAAUUUCCAUUUUAUGAUCAAAUCAACAGAACACCUGCGCCAGCUGGUGCAACAGCCUUGAACAAGGACAUGGCCGUUGUAGCUAUUCCGUUUGCAGCACCCCGUUGCCCUUGUGGCUAAUUAUUUUUUUUUAAAAAUAUAAAUCAUAGGUUCAUAAAGUACUUACAGCAAGAACACUUUUGAUCAUUGCUGCACUAUAGAGGGCCACACCAAGUCUUAUUCCUGAUAAGUGCGUCAUAAAGGGAUAAGCAGCAAUAAUCGGUAUAGAUAUAACUCACCGACGCAAUGCGGGUUGAGUUGAUAGGUCCAAGAAUUUUAUCAACCCAACGGUAGAUAAAAAGUUGAUAUACAAGAAGGCUGGCACCUGCCACUGCAAGAACUUGCCCAACAUCUUUAGAUGAAAAGCUGAGUCCACCAUAUUUUCUAUCACUUACAGUCCACAGAGAAAAUAUCUCGCUAUAUGCGGUGUCGUGAAGGGAGAAGACACAAUAUGUGAUGAUAGAUGACAUCAAUGGCCAAUUUCUGAAUAAACUUUUCUUAUGUGAUUCUGCACUUCCUUGAGUAGUAGAAGCUUCAGCUGCCUCCACUCCUGUUUCAAGGCCUUUAUGCUUAUUAAUACAUACCGGUAGCCAUAUACAGCUUAUGAGGACCAAGAGAGCAAAAAGUGAUAUACAAAGACAGGGUAGAAGGAAAAAUACCUCCCAAAUAUUGACUUUUCAUGAAAAAGAUGAGGAUAUUGUUUGACAGGCUGAGCGAGGUAGCCUCCAAUUGCUGGACCAACUACAAGACCUAUUCCCCAUGCUGUGCUCACCUAAAAUUUUGAUGACAUGGAUGAAACUUAGUCCAUGACAUGAAACAAAGUUAUGCCAUCAUAUAUAUAGAUGUGAAGUGCUAUAUAUAGAUUUGUAUUUUACAAUUGAUAGGCCCAGAGCUUGAUGUUCAGCUCGGCAAACUUCGAUAGAGUAAGCCUGCAGCCACAAGUAAUAUAAAACAUAAUUAAGUAGAUUGUUGAUGGAAUAAGAAUACCAAUUGAUACUGACACCAUCCCUUAUUUGUUCUCAACAGACUUCUUUCACAUUUCAAAGUAUCUUAAUGUUUCCUAAAAAGGUACCUUUAUUGGUGCAAGCAAUCCAUUCAGAGCACCAAGAAGGAAUCUCGUGGUAACAGCCAUCCAGUACUUCACACUUAAUCCAAACAAAGUACUAUAGUGCUUACACUGCAAAAAUGGAAAAGAUAAUGACAGGCUUUCGGCCAAUACGAUCCGCUACCAUACCCCACAAGAUUGAUGCAAAACCUCGACCGAUCAUAUAUGAUGCACCAAGAAAUCCAGCAUAGAAUCCAAUAUCUUCCUCUGUCCGAGAAAUAUGCAAUUCCCUUAUCUUUGACUGUGCAUGUAUGCGUGCUAAUUCUAUAUUAUAUAUUCAUACAGGAGGCGAGGGUGGUGAUGGCAACGAAGAGGAACUCCUUGUAGGGAAUGCCCUUGUGCUCCUCCUUCCUCUGCUCCAUGGCGCAGCCGGGGCAGCCAUCGUGGUAUACCUUGGUCGCCGGCGGCUCAGCCAUCAACGGCGACG